rnacentral:lncRNA from 1 species
GUUCAUAUUCCCAAAGUAGCGUAGUAAAUAGAUUGCUGUAUGUAUUUUAAGUUUUGCAAUCCCAUAUGCAGCGUGGUUUAUAAUACAGUCGAAUUUAGCAUGUGAACAGUUUAACUUUUACAUUGAAAUAGGCCUAUGUAUGCUACUGUAUGUACUGUAAUUGCAACAGCAACAAAAAUGCGUAGCCUGCCCUAGAUAAUGUUUCAGAAUUCGUGGGCAGUCCAUCAUAUAUAGGUUGGGGGGAAAGUCGACGCAAAACAUUUGUGAAUUCAAACGUUCUGCUGACAGGUCCACAACAGUUUGCCAACUCUUUCAGAAAUGGCAGUAUUUUGCUAGAUACAGCAUAAAAAUGUAAAGCUGCAAUAUGUAACUUUUCAUUGUUUUUCUAUGUUCAAAAGCUCCAAUAAGUCACUAGUCAUCCAAUGUUAUGCAACAGUAACAAUAUUGCGCCUCUAGCCUGCCUGUGAACCACUGUAUUCAUUAUCCCUGUCAGGUUGGAUUUUCCCGCCAGAUUUUCUGGAGCGCACAAUGAGUGACAUGUUUUCCGUCAGUGAGGAAGCGGUGUGAUAGCUAGCUAGCUGAGCUCAUGGCCAACGUGUAAAGGCGAUAGCUCGCUUAGCGAUAUGGCGGACGCGAAGGGCAAUAGAGCCCGGGCCAAGACGAGAGUAAACCUCAGAUUUGCGUUCAUAUAGUGGAGAGAACUAAAGGAGUUGAUGAGAUUCAGAUACUUAAGACGAGACACGACGGAACGGUUCGUUUGAUCCGAACGGUCCCGCUUUAGAACGUCUCAUGUCGUUGGUUGGAGUAUUCAAGAUUUAACAUGUCAGCUUUAGCCACAAUCUUGCGACGAGAAGGAUCCAUUUAGCCAUUCAAAUAACAGUUCACUAACAUUCUGUGUUCAGCUAAGCAGCUAGUUAACUAGCCAAGAAGAGGGCUAGCUAGCUAUUUUGCUGUACAUAGGUAGCCUGGCUUGCUGACAUUUCAGUCAAAAACUGUACCCUGUUUCUGAUGCAUGUAUUUCAUGACACUUGUUUGCUACAACAAGUGGCAACUCUGUUUCAAAGUUUCAUAAUGGAAUUGUGAAGUGGCACCGUUACCGUGGAAACGUUCUCAGCUUCACAUCUCAUGUUCUUGAUCUGAAUGCCCCAUCUUUAGUCAGCUGUUGUACAACACAACCUUUUAAAACUAGCUAGUUUUAUCUCUGAUCUAGGUCUACAUCUGAGCUGGAGUCCUUCCAGAAUCAAAUACUCACAUACGUGGUUUGCUUUUCCGUCUCCAGUCAAUGAGGCUGGAACCCUACUGGCAGCACUUGACUACAACCUUUGUAACCAUCGUCCAGUAUUGGCGAAUGCGUUGUGCAACAAGAUGUAAGUGUUAGUUGUCCUCUCGGUUGUGAAAAAGAUUUGCAUGAUGAGUUUUUUAUUUUCCUGUGAGUGCAGAGCAGUCUUUAGCGGAGUGGUUGGAAAGGAAAUGGAGGGCUGGAGCAGUGCGAAACCGCUCCAUGAGCGAUGAGUGGGAUUUCAAACCGCUCAACUCCGCUCACAUGCUUUGGUGAGAAACAUUCUGAUAAAGUACUCAACUGAUAUCACCCAGACCAAGGAAAAAUUCACACAAAAAUCGACUUACAAAAAUAUCACUAAAUUGAGUAUUUUUCCUAAUUGGGAUCUAAAUGAAGAAUAAAGUACAGUGUAGUUGUGGAAAGUGUUAACCUGUUAUGUAAACGUACUUGCUAAUAAAUAAUUUGAAUAUUACAGUGGUGAAAUGGCAGCAGUUGUGUAUUGUAAGGUGCAGGAGUCUCCCUGCAAUUCAUGCAGGUGCACCAGCGAGGUUGUCAGGAGACCCUGAGAUAGCUCUCCGGUACUCCAUGAUGUCAAAAAUCACUCCAGGCAGGUAGAUGAAAAGCAGCCAGCUCCAGCACAUCUCCCCUUUCUUCAAAGGAAAGUUCUUGCAAUUUAGCCU